UACGAAGGGUGCUAGCGUUGUUCGGAAUCACUGGGCGUAAAGCGUACGUAGGCGGCUUAGCAAGUCGAUUGUGAAAUCCCCAGGCUUAACCUGGGAAUGGCAACCGAUACUGUUUCGCUAGAGUGUGGUGGGGGAUAGUGGAAUUCCUAGUGUAGGGGUGAAAUCCGUAGAUAUUAGGAGGAACACCGGUGGCGAAAGCGACUAUCUACGCCAAUACUGACGCUAAGGUACGAAAGCGUGGGGAGCAAACAGG
rnacentral:rRNA from 1 species